AGACCCGAAACCCGGUGAUCUAGCCAUGGGCAGGUUGAAGGUUGGGUAACACUAACUGGAGGACCGAACCGACUAAUGUUGAAAAAUUAGCGGAUGACCUGUGGCUGGGGGUGAAAGGCCAAUCAAACCGGGAGAUAGCUGGUUCUCCCCGAAAGCUAUUUAGGUAGCGCCUCGUGAAUUCAUCUCCGGGGGUAGAGCACUGUUUCGGCUAGGGGGCCAUCCCGGCUUACCAACCCGAUGCAAACUGCGAAUACCGGAGAAUGUUAUCACGGGAGACACACGGCGGGUGCUAACGUCCGUCGUGAAGAGGGAAACAACCCAGACCGCCAGCUAAGGUCCCAAAGUCAUGGUUAAGUGGGAAACGAUGUGGGAAGGCCCAGACAGCCAGGAUGUUGGCUUAGAAGCAGCCAUCAUUUAAAGAAAGCGUAAUAGCUCACUGGUCGAGUCGGCCUGCGCGGAAGAUGUAACGGGGCUAAACCAUGCACCGAAGCUGCGGCAGCGACGCUGAUGCGUUGUUGGGUAGGGGAGCGUUCUGUAAGCCUGCGAAGGUGGCCUGUGAGGGUUGCUGGAGGUAUCAGAAGUGCGAAUGCUGACAUAAGUAACGAUAAAGCGGGUGAAAAGCCCGCUCGCCGGAAGACCAAGGGUUCCUGUCCAACGUUAAUCGGGGCAGGGUGAGUCGACCCCUAAGGCGAGGCCGAAAGGCGUAGUCGAUGGGAAACGGGUUAAUAUUCCCGUACUUGGUGUUACUGCGAAGGGGGGACGGAGAAGGCUAUGUUGGCCGGGCGACGGUUGUCCCGGUUUAAGCGUGUAGGUGUGUGUUCCAGGUAAAUCCGGUUCACUUUAACACUGAGGCGUGAUGACGAGGCACUACGGUGCUGAAGCAACAAAUGCCCUGCUUCCAGGAAAAGCCUCUAAGCAUCAGGUAACAUCAAAUCGUACCCCAAACCGACACAGGUGGUCAGGUAGAGAAUACCAAGGCGCUUGAGAGAACUCGGGUGAAGGAACUAGGCAAAAUGGUGCCGUAACUUCGGGAGAAGGCACGCUGACACGUAGGUGAAGUGAUUUACUCAUGGAGCUGAAGUCAGUCGAAGAUACCAGCUGGCUGCAACUGUUUAUUAAAAACACAGCACUGUGCAAACACGAA
rnacentral:rRNA from 1 species